rnacentral:sRNA from 1 species
GCCAGGUGUGGUGGCACACACCUGUAAUUCCAGUGACUCAGGAGGCUGAGGCAGGAGGAUAGUGAGUUCAAAGCCAGCCUCAAAAACUUAGUGAGGCACUUACCAACUCAGCAAGACCCUGCCUGUA